UACGGAGGGGGCUAGCGUUGUUCGGAAUUACUGGGCGUAAAGCGCACGUAGGCGGCUUUGUAAGUUAGAGGUGAAAGCCUGGGGCUCAACUCCAGAAUUGCCUUUAAGACUGCAUCGCUUGAAUCCAGGAGAGGUGAGUGGAAUUCCGAGUGUAGAGGUGAAAUUCGUAGAUAUUCGGAAGAACACCAGUGGCGAAGGCGGCGCCCUGGACCGGUAUUGACGCUGAGGCGCGAAAGCGUGGGGAGCAAACAGG
rnacentral:rRNA from 1 species